GAAAUAAUCUAAGUCAUUUGGAAAAGUACAUCGCAUCCGAGGUUUUCAAAAUACAUUUUUUUUAUAAUAAAUCUUCUUUUUAAAAAGUCAUUCUUCAGUUGAAAAAGUUUUGCCAAAUCUUGCUAAUGAGUUGUUGGUAGAAUUAAAUAAGAAAAACUGACGAAUUCAGAUAAAAUAAAGGUCGUAAAAAUGAUGACAGAGAAACUCAAUUCCCCUCUUGCAGAUAUAAUAAACAAAAGCCUAAAUAAAGUAGCGAAUAUUGGAGACGAUAUGGGUUGGAAAUCGAAGCUUAAGAUACCCCCAAAAGACAAUCGCUUUAAAACAAGCGUAA
rnacentral:sRNA from 1 species